rnacentral:rRNA from 1 species
CGGAACGUACCAUUCAGUGGGGGAUAACGUAGCGAAAGUUACGCUAAUACCGCAUAUUCUGUGAGCAGGAAAGCAGGGGAUCGCAAGACCUUGCGCUGAUUGAGCGGCCGAUAUCAGAUUAGCUUGUUGGUGAGGUAAAAGCUCACCAAGGCGACGAUCUGUAGCGGGUCUGAGAGGAUGAUCCGCCACACUGGAACUGAGACACGGUCCAGACUCCUACGGGAGGCAGCAGUGGGGAAUUUUGGACGAUGGGGGCAACCCUGAUCCAGCCAUGCCGCGUGAGUGAAGAAGGCCUUCGGGUUGUAAAGCUCUUUCAGCCGGGAAGAAAACGCAUGGGUUAAUACCCUGUGUGGAUGACGGUACCGGAAUAAGAAGCACCGGCUAACUACGUGCCAGCAGCCGCGGUAAUACGUAGGGUGCGAGCGUUAAUCGGAAUUACUGGGCGUAAAGCGUGCGCAGGCGGUUUUGUAAGACAGGCGUGAAAUCCCCAGGCUUAACCUGGGAACUGCGUUUGUGACUGCAAGGCUAGAGUACGGCAGAGGGGGGUGGAAUUCCACGUGUAGCAGUGAAAUGCGUAGAGAUGUGGAGGAACACCAAUGGCGAAGGCAGCCCCCUGGGUCGAUACUGACGCUCAUGCACGAAAGCGUGGGUAGCAAACAGGAUUAGAUACCCUGGUAGUCCACGCCCUAAACGAUGUCAACUAGGUGUUGGGAGGGUAAAACCUUUUAGUACCGGAGCUAACGCGUGAAGUUGACCGCCUGGGGAGUACGGCCGCAAGGUUAAAACUCAAAGGAAUUGACGGGGACCCGCACAAGCGGUGGAUGAUGUGGAUUAAUUCGAUGCAACGCGAAAAACCUUACCUACCCUUGACAUGCCAAGAACUUUCCAGAGAUGGAUUGGUGCCCGAAAGGGAACUUGGACACAGGUGCUGCAUGGCUGUCGUCAGCUCGUGUCGUGAGAUGUUGGGUUAAGUCCCGCAACGAGCGCAACCCUAGUCGUUAAUUGCCAUCAUUUAGUUGGGCACUUUAACGAGACUGCCGGUGACAAACCGGAGGAAGGUGGGGAUGACGUCAAGUCCUCAUGGCCCUUAUGGGUAGGGCUUCACACGUCAUACAAUGGUCGGUACAAAGGGUCGCCAAGCCGCGAGGUGGAGCCAAUCCCAGAAAGCCGAUCGUAGUCCGGAUCGCAGUCUGCAACUCGACUGCGUGAAGUCGGAAUCGCUAGUAAUCGUGGAUCAGAAUGUCACGGUGAAUACGUUCCCGGGUCUUGUACACACCGCCCGUCACACCAUGGGAGCGGGUUCCGCCAGAAGUAGGCAGCCUAACCGCAAGGAGGGCGCUUACCACGG